CAGUCCGUUUUGUGAUACCGAUUCGUAAAUCGUGCCGCGUUUGAUACGUCAAGAUUCGGCGGGUGCCUGUGAUUUAUAGGUGCAUUUAUGUGAACCGUUUAACAAAAAUUGAUGGCAUUCGACGUACCUCGCUAAACCUUCAGGUAAAAUCCUGAUCACGUGAAGUUUUAAAAGGUGACUCGUUUGAACAUUGAUUUACGUGCAAGAGAAUUUCAGAGUGUGGGUUUUAUCGCGUACCCCUGACGUAAUAUCUCGGUAGAAAAUGUGAAUGACGUCGCCGUUGCUCUUAGUGAAACUUGCAGCCGUAAAGAAGAUCGUUGAAAAGUGCAUCGGUGUAUUUACACGAAUCACGUAUUUUGUCAUCCGUUGGAGUGUUCGUAUAAAAAAUAUAUACAGUAAAAUGUUCAUUGAGUGCAUGCCCUGGUUUAGUUGCAUAAGAUGCUGUUCAUCCUCGCCGGAAUCUUCCAAAGUUUAUGGAUUGAGCUUUAAAGGGAGAGAAGAGGGUGGAACGAGUGGUGGCCACCGUGAACCCCGAUCAACCCCCGAUUGGGGUCCUGGUGCACUUAAUGGGGAACAUCUUUGGGUACCGACGUCGGCUUCUGGUGAUUUUUGUUAUGUCAAUGACUGCUCGAAACAUGGAGCCAGGAUGAAGUGUGCGGCGUGUCGCGUGGUGGCCCACACCGUGUGCGCGACGAGCCUGAACUUCGCCUGCAAAUCCAGCUUCAGAGACGUGGGAGUCCGGCAAUAUCGCGAGCAAACGAACACGCAACACCACUGGGUCCACCGUCGGUCUCAGAAAGGGAAAUGCGGGAACUGCGGCAAGUCGUUCCAAUCGAAACUGAGUUUCACCUCGAAGGAGAUCGUCGCGGUGAGCUGCAGCUGGUGCAAACGAGCCUACCACAACAAGGAGGCGUGUUUCAACGUGCAGAAAAUCGGCGAGAACUGCGAACUAGGUGCGCAUGCUUCGAUCAUCGUGCCGCCAUCUUGGAUCGUGAAGUUGCCCAGAAAGGGUAGUUUCAAGAGCAGUUUGAGGAAAUCGCCGAGGAAGAAGAAGUCUGGUAGUGGUGGCAGUAGUGGUUCGAGCAGAAAGAAGAAAGAGAAGGAUAAAGACAAGGAACAGGACAAGGACCAAGGACGAUUGUGGGUGGUCAAGCCUAUACCUACGGCAUCCGUGAAGCCGGUGCUGGUUUUCAUUAACCCGAAAUCCGGAGGAAAUCAGGGUGCCAAGCUGUUGCAGAAGUUUCAGUGGCUGCUGAAUCCUAGACAGGUGUUCGAUCUGACGCAGGGUGGACCCAAAAUGGGGUUACAACUGUUUGAAAAAGUUCCUAAUCUACGAGUCCUCGCAUGUGGCGGUGACGGUACAGUGGGAUGGGUACUAUCGAUCCUGGAUCAGAUCGGAGCGAAUCCUCCACCAGCAGUGGGUGUACUUCCUCUCGGAACCGGAAACGAUCUCGCAAGAGCGUUAGGCUGGGGUGGCGGUUACACGGACGAGCCGAUCGGGAAAAUUUUAACAAACAUCGGAGAAAGCGACACCACGUUGCUGGACAGAUGGCAGCUGGUGGUCGAAAGGAAUCCAGACGUCCAGGGCGACGAUGACAACGGCAAGGGCAAAGAGAAUCUACCUCUGAACGUCGUUAAUAAUUACUUUUCCCUUGGCGUCGAUGCUCACAUCGCUCUUGAAUUUCACGAGGCUCGAGAGGCGCAUCCAGAAAAGUUCAACUCGCGAUUGCGAAACAAGAUGUACUACGGUCAGAUGGGUGGCAAGGACCUGGUGUUGCGGAAGUGGAAGGACCUCUCGGAAUUCGUGACGCUGGAAUGCGACGGUACGGAUGUGACACCGAAAUUGAAGGAACAUCGUGUUCACGCUAUAGUUUUCUUGAAUAUCGCGUCGUACGGCGGAGGGACGCAUCCUUGGGGCGCUGCGAGUGGAACUAAAGAGCCGUCGACGGAGGACGGGAUGAUAGAAGUUGUCGGUUUGACGACCUAUCAGCUUCCGCUUCUUCAAGCGGGCGGUCAUGGUACUUGCAUCGCUCAGUGUAGCACGGCUAAGCUGGUUACUACGAAAACCAUUCCAAUGCAGGUUGACGGAGAAGCCUGUCGAUUGCUGCCAUCUAUAAUAAACAUGAAACUAUUGAACAAAGCAACGAUGCUGGCGAAACGAAGAAACACCAGCAAGCCACAGCAGGACGUCAAACUAGAAAGAUUGAAAUUGCCCGUAAUGAAAAUAAGAAUGUCGGAUUACGAAAAGUAUCAUCACGACAAGGACAUGUUGAAGAACGCCGCGUCUUCGUGGAUCUCUGAUCCGCUCGAUCUUGACGCCACCACGGAUCUGGAAUCCUUGAGGAAGAUCCUGGCGAAAGAUCAUAACAUGGACACUUGUUGCUUCCUUGAUUCGUGUACCGCAGAGCGGUUCUUCCGGAUCGACAGAGCCCAAGAACAGCUGCAUUACGUGACCGACGUUGCCGUCGAAGUUGUAUAUGUUCUCGAAGAAAAUGCAACCAGUUCGUCAAACGAACCUGAAGGAACGAAGGUCUCUGCCAGUCAAGAACCUGCGACUGCUCAAUCCUCUCCAAGCGAAGAACGGCCAAAAUCAAACGCAGCCAUGACACAAGAGCAGCCUAAAAACGAAACGAAGGCGCAACCAUCUCCGGCGAGCGAUAAUACUGAGAAGCCGGCUGAGGACGCGAAGACGCAAGCCGAGACUCAGGGCACACCGAAGUCUCAGGGAUCGAUGAAGAAAAACGUGGCACGCGACGAACCGCUGAACACGAAGAACGAGGAGAAGGCUAACGAAGGAAAAGUAUCCAGGGACGUUAUAAAGGAAAGCGGUUCCUCGAAAUCGAUCUCUGGGACGACUGUCGCUCAGUCGCAACAUCAUACACCACCCACAUUCAUUAGUCCACGAGAUAGGCUUUUUGGUCUAAGUUCCGAGGUCCACACCUUUAACACAAGAUUAUUGGAAAAAACAAGUGACGGUAUUUUGAAAGCAGCAAAAGUCGGUAACCUCCAGGCUCUAAAAGAACUCCAUGAUAAAGGAUAUUCCCUUCUGUGUAUCGACGCCACUGGACAAACUGCUCUUCAUCUUGCCUCGAGAUAUGGUCACAAGGAUAUUGUCAGAUAUCUCAUCGCUUGCGCACCAUCGAGCAUCCUGAAUAUGAUCGACAACGACAAAGGUCAAACCGCUUUACACAAAGCGGCUCAAUAUAAACGUCGUUCCGUUUGCUGCAUGCUAGUCGCCGGCGGUGCUACUUUAAGUAUCAAGGAUCGGCAAGGUAACACACCUCGCGAUCUUGCUUUGCAAGCGGAGGAUCGUGAACUCGCAGCAUAUUUAUGCAGUCAAGAGCAGUUCCAGCUGACAACGGAAGAAAUGGAGAACGCCCUUUGACCCACGGCCCUGACGGGCAGAGCCUGAGCCGACCAUAGACCUUCGCAUACAGAAGGAUCUCAACGAUCGAUCUUUGUUUCGGCGAUCUAGAGUAAGUUACACGUGAUAAAUCGAUACUCUUUCUUCGAAGGUGACACCCGGACUUUUCAAUUUUCCUCGUCGAGAUCACUGUCAACCUUGUAAAUUAAUAUCACAUUCUGCGUAGAGGUAAUUAAUACGAUAACACGUACUUCGUAUAGAAUAUAACAUAUAAUUAUUCUCGAUCGAGCCACGAGCCUGUACACGUAAUGUAUUAUAUUUUUCAAAAUGGCGACGAGGCGUUCUCUCUCUCGAGCCUCGUUCGAUCGACGAUGAAAACGGAAAAGAAGAUGCUGGAUAUUGUAGAGGGACCGUUCAAUACCGGUGAAAUAUAACAAACUUUUGCUCAUCCGUUGCGAGUUUAAGGGUGUGGAAUUGACGAGUAAGACCCGUAACCGAAUUAGUGAGAGACUAGGAUCAAUGAUGCCACUUCGACGAUAUUGUAUACAUACACAUAUAUACAUCCUUAUAAAUUUAUAUAUAAUUAGCGUUGUUCUUGGUAGAUUUUUACAUUUUUCUUCGCGAGGGCGAUGGUAGCGUUAGCGGUUCGGAGUUGGAGAGAAUUUGAAUUGGUUGUUAGGAUCGUUGACUCGAUCGAAUUUUGUUGUUGCGUUGUAUGAAGAGUAUAGUCAAUGCUGUUAUUGCAGUUUUGAAAUUGAGUAGUGAGAAUUUGGAUAUAUGGAGAAAUUUGGAAAUAUUAGAAUUAAAAAGCUUGACAAGUUGGGAGUUAUUGUGAUUUUAAGAAGUUUGAGGGUUUGUUAACUUAAGAAUUUUAAAAAUCAAAGAUCUGAGUGUUGAUGAUUUAGAAAUUGACAAAUAUACAAAUUUG
rnacentral:misc_RNA from 1 species